CUCUGCCGGCGACCGGCGCACGGGUGAGUAACACGUAUGCAACCUGCCCUCCGCAGGGGGAUAACCCGGAGAAAUCCGGACUAAUACCGCGUGGUACACUUGUGGGGCAUCCCACGGGUGUUAAAAGGAAGUGAUUCCGGCGGAGGAUGGGCAUGCGGCGCAUUAGCUUGUUGGCGGGGUAACGGCCCACCAAGGCGACGAUGCGUAGGGGUUCUGAGAGGAAGGUCCCCCACACUGGUACUGAGACACGGACCAGACUCCUACGGGAGGCAGCAGUGAGGAAUAUUGGUCAAUGGGCGGGAGCCUGAACCAGCCAAGUCGCGUGAGGGAAGACGGUCCUAUGGAUUGUAAACCUCUUUAGGCGGGGAGCAAUGCCGGGCACGCGUGCCCGGAGGGAGAGUACCCGCAGAAUAAGCAUCGGCUAACUCCGUGCCAGCAGCCGCGGUAAUACGGAGGAUGCGAGCGUUAUCCGGAUUUAUUGGGUUUAAAGGGUGCGUAGGCGGAUUUUUAAGUCAGCGGUAAAAUGUCCGGGCUCAACCCGGGCCGGCCGUUGAAACUGGGGAUCUUGAGUGGGCGAGAAGUAUGCGGAAUGCGUGGUGUAGCGGUGAAAUGCAUAGAUAUCACGCAGAACUCCGAUUGCGAAGGCAGCAUACCGGCGCCCGACUGACGCUGAGGCACGAAAGCGUGG
rnacentral:rRNA from 1 species